AAUCUUAGUGAGAAUGCCAUUGAAAGGCUAACGAGAGCCGUCCAGCCGCAGCCUUGCAGUAAGCCACUUGCAGACAGCAUCCAUCUCUUCAGGCACUGUAUAGUGUUCAACUCUGCAAGUGCCAGUUACUUGGAUUUGGACUGGAUCGACUGAAAGAACCGAGAACCAGCCAGACGAUAAGGCAAACCGGCACAUGUUUGGUCCAAUUUUCACAAUAUUGAACUGAAGCAUUGUUGAAGAAACAGAAAUGUUACCCAUUGUAUGCCUUAAAUAUCAAAAUUGGCAAGAAGGCAGCUAUCCUUGUGGCUUCUUGGGAGCUUUCCAUCUUACUCUUCAAGCUCCUAUAUGAACAUCUAGAUCUUAAUCUUGAGAUUCUAAUAUCAGAUUAGUAACUUGAAAAUUAAUGAAUGGCUGGAGACUAAAUUUAGCCUUUUUAUUGAAAAUUUGUCCUCAAAAAGUAGAACAAACCUUGAACAUGGAAGCCAACCACUAAGGCUUACAAUGGAACUGAGGUUUAUGGGGUAAAGAGCUCCAUUUCCAAAUCUUCCAUAUGCAAAGCAAGUAGCAGAGUACAGAGCAGUUGCUGCACCCAUACUGAACCCGCCAAUGCCAAGUUUUGCUGCAACAGUUGUGUUUGAAGUUCAUUCGUGGCUCAGAUGACAAAAGAUUUGCGAUGUGCGCUGCUGAAGCAUCAAUUCCCUCAGUGUCAUCAGGGCCAUCUUGUGCGAUGUCCCAAACGUUGAACCCUGCAAAUAACACAUCGUUGCCUGAUCAGGUAAAAUCACAAAUGGGUUGGCCAAAUCUCUUGAGCUAGAGAGUUACAGGCUGUGCAGGAAAAUCCACCGAAUGCGGCAACAGGCCGAACAGGAGCUGUAGGGCAUAUCCACUUGAUCUGAAACAGUGCCACAAUUGAAACUGAUGCAGGAGGACACGAGUGAAGAAAACAUGUUCAGAACUUACAUUCGGCAGCGGAAGAUUUUCCAGGAGCUGAGAAGAGCUGCAAAGGCAAGUAGAAAACUCAUGCAUGUCAUGAACCUGAUUAUUUCUUUACUUAAAUUUCUAUCCGAAAUAGUUAGUUAUGCAUAGUUUGAUGGGGAAGGACACUUUUGAGCUAGAAACUCAAAAGUUAUUCCCUAGAACUAGAACUGUGUAGUGAGUGCAUUGACAUUCUCAUUCUCCACUUGUUAUAUUCCAAUCCUUUUGUUAAAGAUA